UCCCUGGCAGUUCAGUGGUUAGGACUUUGCCUUCUAAUGCACAGGGUACAGGUUCAAUUCCUGGUCAGGGAC
rnacentral:tRNA from 1 species